ACGCGAAAGCUCCCUUCGGGGAGCAAGUAGAGUGGCGCACGGGUGAGUAACACGUAGGUAAUCUACCUUUGGAUGGGGAAUAACAACCGGAAACGGUUGCUAAUACCGCAUAAUGCAGCGGCACCUAAUGGUGACAGUUGUUAAAGCGGGGGAUCGCAAGACCUCGCGUCUGAAGAGGAGCCUGCGGCAGAUUAGCUAGUUGGUAAGGUAACGGCUUACCAAGGCGAUGAUCUGUAGCCGGCCUGAGAGGGCGGUCGGCCACACUGACACUGACAUACGGGUCAGACUCCUACGGGAGGCAGCAGUCGGGAAUUUUGGGCAAUGGGCGAAAGCCUGACCCAGCAACGCCGCGUGAAGGACGAAAUCCCUCGGGAUGUAAACUUCGCAAGAACGGGAAGAAUAAGUAAGGGUUAAUAUCUCUUACGAUGACGGUACUGUUUGUAAGCUCCGGCUAACUCCGUGCCAGCAGCCGCGGUAAUACGGGGGGAGCAAGCGUUG
rnacentral:rRNA from 1 species